rnacentral:lncRNA from 1 species
UGUGAGGAUGUCAUGAGAAGAUGUUCAUCUGCAAGCCAGGAAGCAGGCCCUCCCCAGACACUGGACCUGCUGGCACCUUGAUCUUGGACUUCCCAGCUUCUAGUACUAUGAGAAAUAAAUGUGUAUUGUUUGAGUCACCCACUCUUCGGUAAUGUGUUGCAGCAGCCUGAACUGACUAAGACACCAUCUUGUUUCUGAAGUCUUAUGACUCCCUACCACUUCCAGGGACCUGCCAACUCCACUCAUAAUCGUGAAACACUGAAUCCUUACCAAAAAAGGAAUGCUUCCAGGAAAAUGUCAUAUGGUGUGUUUGAUAAUUUGGGACUCAGGCUUAGAUUCUAGCCGUUCUCAGCAUCAGGUGACUCUGCUCCUUGAAAAUACAUUUAAGUGAUGCCAUUCCUGUCCAAAACCACCACUGACUCCUUCUUCAGAGGGCAAGCCUUGAAAUCAUGUGCAUUUGCCUGUGAGACGUUUCUCCGAUUAUCUGAAAAUCUUCUGCCAGGGAUAAGGCGAUUUGUCUCCAUUCUGUCUGAGGUUGCGGAUCUUGGUUUGCAGAGGAGGGCUGCAACGUAGUAGGUUCCUCCACGUGGCUUCUCACUGAAGCCAGAAUGACUCAUUUAGAGAGUAAUCUUGGUGCGGCCUCUUGCUGCCCUCUGGUGGAGAAAACGGGUAUUGAACAAGCCAUAACGACUGAUCUCUGAGGCAAAUGCUGUGAAGUGUCAGCGCAAAGGUCCACGGGGAAUAAUUACACUUCAAGCUAUUAUCUAAAUGAACGGAGUUCAUCUAAAUGAAUGGAGUUGGAACGGUUGUUCUAUGAGAAUCUGAUUUCUCAGCAAGAGAAGUUUUAAUUCCAUCCCCUUUUUAUUUCUGUUUGCUGCGAACUGGUUUCUCAUUUCUCCACACUUGCUCUUCCUUUUCGUGAACAAUCAUUUUGUGUAUUUUGAGAUCAUUAUAAAAUUCUUGUACGCUCAUUUUAAAACAUUUCCAGAAAGUGAAAGUCAGCAUGUGACCCAGGAAAAUUCUAAUUCUUAAAACACUCAAGACUCUAAACUAGGGUUUAGACCUAUAUAUUCAGAUCUAAUUCCAAACCAAAAUUCAUUUCAGAAGUUUAAAUAAAACGUAUUAGUCUUA